ACCAUAUAAAUUCUCUUUCAAUUCUCCCCCCUGCUUUCCUCCAUUGCCUCCACAAACCUCUUUCUUCACCCCUCGCUUUCACAGAGCCCCCUCUUGACUUCCCUCUCAUCUCUUCCCUCCCUCUUCCACCCACCCACGACCACUACGGCGAUCUCCGAGAUAUGGUCAACGAGGAUUAAGGGUCUUGUCGGCAAUGGAGGAUGACGAUGAAGACGCAUGAAGUGGAUCCACGGUGGCAUAUUUUGACAGAAAUUAAAAGACAAGAAUCUGGUAGUGCAGGGCGUUAUGCUAAGGCAUUUGAAUCAGCAGUUGAGUUGUCAGAUACAGAAAUAAUGACACUGACGUAUUAUGACAAAGAAGAUCAGUUCAAGAAUGGCAAGAAUCAUUAUUCUCUGUUUUUUUUUUAAGGCAAUUAUGGUAUUUCUUUAAUUCCCUAAUUGUUUUUUUUUUAAGAUCUUUAAAUAUUCUUAAUUUCUGCUAUUGUCAUACGUUGUCAGAACAAUCUUAGUUAUGCUUGACGUCAAGUAAAAAGUUGAGGAUCAAUAUGCUUGUGGUAGGAAUUGAAGGAGAAGUUUGAAAUAUAUAUGAUGAGAUUGUGAAUGUGCAUGCUAGAGUUAUUUUCGUUUCCUCAAGAAGGUUUCAAGUUGAAGCAACUGGCCACAUCAAGAGAUUUGAAGUGUUUCCCCUGCAGAGUCCCAUAUACUCCAUGGCCAAGAGCAGCAAUUGUGAAGCUAAUUUUUUUUAUAGAUUUUAUUCAUUGAGCCUGAGAAAUCGGCAAGGGUUGUAAAUUGUAAGGUCAUAAAAGGCAUGACAUAAAAUGAAGAGAUUUAGACAUGAAUAGGGAUUAUCUUGGAGCUU